rnacentral:rRNA from 1 species
AUUGAACGCUGGCGGCAGGCCUAACACAUGCAAGUCGAGCGAGCGGCGGACGGGUGAGUAAUGUAUGGGGAUCUGCACGAUAGAGGGGGAUAACUACUGGAAACGGUGGCUAAUACCGCCUACCCUCAGAUGAACCCAUAUGGGAUUAGCUAGUAGGUAAGGUAACGGCUUACCUAUGCGACGAACCCGAGCUGGUCUGAGAGGAUGAUCAGUAACAUUGUAACUGAGCCAUGGUCCAGACUCCUACGGGAGGCAGCAGUGGGGAAUAUUGGACAAUGGGCGAAGGCCGGAUCCAGCCAGGCCGCGUGUGUGAAGAAGGUCUUCGGAUUGUAAAGCACUUUCAGCGGGGAGGCGUUACCCGCAGAAGAAGCACCGGCUAACUCCGUGCCAGCAGCCGCGGUAAUUC